UCGGGAAUUUUGGGCAAUGGGCGAAAGCCUGACCCAGCAACGCCGCGUGAGGGAUGAGGUAUUUCGGUAUGUAAACCUCGAAAGAAUGGGAAGAAUAAAUGACGGUACCAUUUAUAAGCUCCGGCUAACUACGUGCCAGCAGCCGCGGUAAUACGUAGGGAGCAAGCGUUGUUCGGAUUUACUGGGCGUAAAGGGCGCGUAGGCGGCGCGGUAAGUCACUUGUGAAAUCUCUGAGCUUAACUCAGAACGGCCAAGUGAUACUGCUGUGCUAGAGUGCGGAGGAGGCAACCGGAAUUCUUGGUGUAGCGGUGAAAUGCGUAGAUAUCAAGAGGAACACCUGAGGCGAAGGCGGGUUGCUGGGCCGACACUGACGCUGAUGCGCGAAAGCCAGGGGAGCAAACG
rnacentral:rRNA from 1 species